rnacentral:rRNA from 1 species
GCGUAGGGUAUUGUUGGAAACCUGCUCAGCAGAGAGACCCGCGAACACGUACGACACUCGAGGGGGGCGAGGGGUGCGAACACGCCCCGGACCCUCCUCGCCGGGUGCUUGUGGCCCCGCCCCUCGCCCCCGGCUCCAAACGAACCCCGGCGCGGAAUGCGUCAAGGAAAGACAACGAGACGAUCCCCGCCAUCGAGGCCCCGGGAACGGUGACUCUGCCUCGGUGGUCGCUUCGGGAUCGGUUUUUAGUAUGAAGAACGACUCUCGUCAUCGGAUAUCUCGGCUCUCGCAUUGAUGAAGAACGUAGCGAAAUGCGAUACUCUGGUGUGAAUUGCAGAAUCCCGUGAACCAUCGAGUCUUUGAACGCAAGUUGCGCCCGAAGCCAUCAGGUCGAGGGCACGUCUGCCUAGGCAUCCCACGUCGCUGACCUCCGGAUUCCCCUCCCCGCUCCUAUCCGGAUGAGUUGGUUCUGUGUGGGGGGGCCGGAUGAUGUUCAACCGUGCGUGCGUUUCUGUCUAUAUGUCUGGUUUGACUAGGCAUAAUAAGUGUUGUCUUGACAACAUCUAGGGAAGCCCAGGACCUAGACUACUGUCUGCUAACUAAAGCUCCGCUUUAAGUCAUCCCCAAUGUUCCCCUCACGGGUGCCUCCCACUCGGCCUCAAGUCACCCUGCCG